rnacentral:rRNA from 1 species
CGAGUGAGAAUGCAGGCAUGAGUAGCGAUACUAGGGUGAGAAGCCCUAGCGCCGAAUGACCAAGGGUUCCAGGGCCAGGCUAGUCCGCCCUGGGUGAGUCGGGACCUAAGGCGAGGCCGACAGGCGUAGUCGAUGGACAACGGGUUGAUAUUCCUGUACCGGUGAAGGACCGUCCAUGCUGAUUCGGUGAUACUAACCGCCCGAAGCAUCCUCGACCUUGUUCUUUGAGCAGGGCGUGUGGUGUGGAGCGCGGGACCUGAACCGAGGAGGCAAGCGCAUUAACAGGUGUGACGCAGGAAGGUAGCCGAGCCGGGCGAUGGUAGACCCGGUCUAAGCGUGUAGGGCGAUCCGUUGGCAAAUCCGCGGAUCAUUGAGCCUGAGACGUGACGGGACCCCCAUUCGUGGGGGGAUUCGGUGAUCCUAUGCUGCCGAGAAAAGCAUCGACGCGAGGUUCCAGCCGCCCGUACCCCAAACCGACACAGGUGAUCAGGUAGAGAAUACUAAGGCGAUCGAGAGAAUCAUGGUUAAGGAACUCGGCAAAAUGCCCCCGUAACUUCGGGAGAAGGGGGGCCCCGACCGUGGACACCACUUGCUGGUGCGAGCGGGUAAGGGCCGCAGAGACCAGGGGGAAGCGACUGUUUAUCAAAAACACAGGUCCGUGCGAAGUCGUAAGACGAUGUAUACGGACUGACUCCUGCCCGGUGCUGGAAGGUUAAGAGGACCUGUUAGCCUCACGGCGAAGCGGAGAAUUUAAGCCCCAGUAAACGGCGGUGGUAACUAUAACCAUCCUAAGGUAGCGAAAUUCCUUGUCGGGUAAGUUCCGACCUGCACGAAUGGCGUAACGACUUCCCUGCUGUCUCAACCACAGACCCGGCGAAAUUGCAGUACGAGUAAAGAUGCUCGUUACGCGCGGCAGGACGAAAAGACCCCGGGACCUUCACUAUAGCUUGGUAUUGGUGUUUGGUUCGGUUUGUGUAGGAUAGGUGGGAGACGUUGAUGCGGCCACGCUAGUGGUGGUGGAGUCGUUGUUGAAAUACCACUCUGAUCGGAUUGAGCAUCUAACCUUGGCCCAUGAUCUGGGUUGGGGACAGUGCCUGGUGGGUAGUUUAACUGGGGCGGUUGCCUCCUAAAGAGUAACGGAGGCGCCCAAAGGUUCCCUCAGCCUGGUUGGCAAUCAGGUGUCGAGUGUAAGUGCACAAGGG